AGUGGGGAAUAUUGCACAAUGGGCGCAAGCCUGAUGCAGCGACGCCGCGUGGGGGAUGACGGCCUUCGGGUUGUAAACCUCUUUCGACAGGGACGAAGCUUUGGUGACGGUACCUGUAUAAGAAGCACCGGCUAACUACGUGCCAGCAGCCGCGGUAAUACGUAGGGUGCGAGCGUUGUCCGGAAUUACUGGGCGUAAAGAGCUCGUAGGUGGUUUGUCGCGUCGUCUGUGAAAUUCCGGGGCUUAACUUCGGGCGUGCAGGCGAUACGGGCAUAACUUGAGUGCUGUAGGGGAGACUGGAAUUCCUGGUGUAGCGGUGGAAUGCGCAGAUAUCAGGAGGAACACCGAUGGCGAAGGCAGGUCUCUGGGCAGUAACUGACGCUGAGGAGCGAAAGCAUGGGGAGCGAA
rnacentral:rRNA from 1 species